AGUUUGAUCCUGGCUCAGAGCGAACGUUAGCGGCGGGCUUAACACAUGCAAGUCGAGCGAGAAAGUGGCUUCGGCCAUCAGUAAAGCGGCGGACGGGUGAGUAACACGUAGGUAAUCUUCCCUUGAGCGGGGGACAACGAGCCGAAAGGCUCGCUAAUACCGCAUAAGUUCCCAGGGGUCCUCGGGCCUUGGGAGGAAAGCUAGGUAGCAAUAUCCGGCACUCGAGGAGGAGCCUGCGUCGCAUCAGCUAGUUGGUGGGGUAAUGGCCUACCAAGGCGAAGACGCGUAGCUGGUCUGAGAGGAUGAUCAGCCACACUGAAACUGAGACACGGUUCAGACUCCUACGGGAGGCAGCAGUGGGGAAUAUUGGACAAUGGGCGCAAGCCUGAUCCAGCCACGCCGCGUGAGUGAUGAAGGCCUUCGGGUCGUAAAGCUCUGUGGGGAGGGACGAACCGCCGGCGGUUAAUACCCGACGGCAUGACGGUACCUCCUUAGCAAGCACCGGCUAACUUCGUG
rnacentral:rRNA from 1 species